AUUGAACGCUGGCGGCGGGCCUAACACAUGCAAGUAGAACGAGUGGCGGACGGGUGAGUGAGGUCUGGGAGACUGCCCGAUGGAGGGGGAUAACUACUGGAAACGGUAGCUGAUACCGAAUAACAUCGUAUGUGCCCUGAUGGGAUUAGCUAGGAGGUGGGGUAAAGGCUCACCUAGGCGACGAUCCCUAGCUGGUCGGAGAGGAUGCCGAGCAACACGGGACCGGAGACACGGCCCAGACCCUUCCGGGAGGAAGCAUUGGGAAAUAUUGCACAAUGGGCGCAAGCCGGACGCAGCAAUGCCGGGUGUAGGAGGAAGGCUUUCGGGUUUUAAGGUACGUUCAUCGAGGAGGCGUUACUCGCAGAAGAAGCACCGGCUAACUCCGUGCCAGCAGCCGCGGUAAUUC
rnacentral:rRNA from 1 species